rnacentral:rRNA from 1 species
GACGAACGCUGGCGGCGUGCUUAACACAUGCAAGUCGAACGGUAAGGCCCUUUCGGGGGUACACGAGUGGCGAACGGGUGAGUAACACGUGGGUGAUCUGCCCCAAACUUUGGGAUAAGCCUGGGAAACUGGGUCUAAUACCGGAUAUGACCAUGGGAUGCAUGUUCUGUGGUGGAAAGCUUUUGCGGUUUGGGAUGGGCCCGCGGCCUAUCAGCUUGUUGGUGGGGUAAUGGCCUACCAAGGCGACGACGGGUAGCCGGCCUGAGAGGGCGACCGGCCACACUGGGACUGAGACACGGCCCAGACUCCUACGGGAGGCAGCAGUGGGGAAUAUUGCACAAUGGGCGAAAGCCUGAUCCAGCAACGCCGCGUGAGGGAUGACGGCCUUCGGGUUGUAAACCUCUUUCAGCACAGACGAAGCGCAAGUGACGGUAUGUGCAGAAGAAGGACCGGCCAACUACGUGCCAGCAGCCGCCGUAACAC